rnacentral:rRNA from 1 species
ACGCUAGCUACAGGCUUAACACAUGCAAGUCGAGGGGCAGCAUGGUCUUAGCUUGCUAAGGCCGAUGGCGACCGGCGCACGGGUGAGUAACACGUAUCCAACCUGCCGUCUACUCUUGGACAGCCUUCUGAAAGGAAGAUUAAUACAAGAUGGCAUCAUGAGUCCGCAUGUUCACAUGAUUAAAGGUAUUCCGGUAGACGAUGGGGAUGCGUUCCAUUAGAUAGUAGGCGGGGUAACGGCCCACCUAGUCUUCGAUGGAUAGGGGUUCUGAGAGGAAGGUCCCCCACAUUGGAACUGAGACACGGUCCAAACUCCUACGGGAGGCAGCAGUGAGGAAUAUUGGUCAAUGGGCGAGAGCCUGAACCAGCCAAGUAGCGUGAAGGAUGACUGCCCUAUGGGUUGUAAACUUCUUUUAUAAAGGAAUAAAGUCGGGUAUGGAUACCCGUUUGCAUGUACUUUAUGAAUAAGGAUCGGCUAACUCCGUGCCAGCAGCCGCGGUAAUACGGAGGAUCCGAGCGUUAUCCGGAUUUAUUGGGUUUAAAGGGAGCGUAGAUGGAUGUUUAAGUCAGUUGUGAAAGUUUGCGGCUCAACCGUAAAAUUGCAGUUGAUACUGGAUAUCUUGAGUGCAGUUGAGGCAGGCGGAAUUCGUGGUGUAGCGGUGAAAUGCUUAGAUAUCACGAAGAACUCCGAUUGCGAGGGCAGCCUGCUAAGCUGCAACUGACAUUGAGGCUCGAAAGUGUGGGUAUCAAACAGGAUUAGAUACCCUGGUAGUCCACACGGUAAACGAUGAAUACUCGCUGUUUGCGAUAUACUGCAAGCGGCCAAGCGAAAGCGUUAAGUAUUCCACCUGGGGAGUACGCCGGCAACGGUGAAACUCAAAGGAAUUGACGGGGGCCCGCACAAGCGGAGGAACAUGUGGUUUAAUUCGAUGAUACGCGAGGAACCUUACCCGGGCUUAAAUUGCAGAUGAAUUACGGUGAAAGCCGUAAGCCGCAAGGCAUCUGUGAAGGUGCUGCAUGGUUGUCGUCAGCUCGUGCCGUGAGGUGUCGGCUUAAGUGCCAUAACGAGCGCAACCCUUGUUGUCAGUUACUAACAGGUUCCGCUGAGGACUCUGACAAGACUGCCAUCGUAAGAUGUGAGGAAGGUGGGGAUGACGUCAAAUCAGCACGGCCCUUACGUCCGGGGCUACACACGUGUUACAAUGGGGGGUACAGAGGGCCGCUACCACGCGAGUGGAUGCCAAUCCCCAAAACCUCUCUCAGUUCGGACUGGAGUCUGCAACCCGACUCCACGAAGCUGGAUUCGCUAGUAAUCGCGCAUCAGCCACGGCGCGGUGAAUACGUUCCCGGGCCUUGUACACACCGCCCGUCAAGCCAUGGGAGCCGGGGGUACCUGAAGUGCGUAACCGCGAGGAGCGCCCUAGGGUAAAACUGGAG